rnacentral:rRNA from 1 species
UACGUAGGGUGCGAGCGUUUGUCCGGAAUUACUGGGCGUAAAGAGCUCGUAGGUGGUUUGUCGCGUUGUUCGUGAAAUUCCCUGGCUUAACUGGGGGCGUGCGGGCGAUACGGGCAGACUGGAGUACUGCAGGGGAGACUGGAAUUCCUGGUGUAGCGGUGGAAUGCGCAGAUAUCAGGAGGAACACCGGUGGCGAAGGCGGGUCUCUGGGCAGUAACUGACGCUGAGGAGCGAAAGCGUGGGGAGCGAACAGG